rnacentral:rRNA from 1 species
UACGUAGGUGGCAAGCGUUGUCCGGAAUUACUGGGCGUAAAGCGCGCGUAGGCGGCUUUGUAAGUUAGAGGUGAAAGCCCGGGGCUCAACCCCCGAACUGCCUUUAAGACUGCAUCGCUUGAAUCCGGGAGAGGUGAGUGGAAUUCCGAGUGUAGAGGUGAAAUUCGUAGAUAUUCGGAAGAACACCAGUGGCGAAGGCGGCUCACUGGACCGGUAUUGACGCUGAGGUGCGAAAGCGUGGGGAGCAAACAGG